rnacentral:rRNA from 1 species
AUACGGAGGAUGCAAGCGUUAUCCGGAUUUAUUGGGUUUAAAGGGUGCGUAGGCUGUUCGGAAAGUCAGGGGUGAAAGCCCGGCGCCUAACGCCGGAACUGCCUUUGAUACUUCCGAGCUGGAAUACGGAUGCCGUGGGAGGAAUGUGUAGUGUAGCGGUGAAAUGCUUAGAGAUUACACAGAACACCGAUUGCGAAGGCAUCUCACGAAGGGUUGAUUGACGCUGAGGCACGAAAGCGUGGGGAUCAAACAGGAUUAGAUACCCUGGUAGUCCACGCAGUAAACGAUGAUGGCUAACCGCUGGUUUAUUCGGAUCAGUGGCCAAGCGAAAGCGAUAAGCCAUCCACCUGGGGAGUACGACCGCAAGGUUGAAACUCAAAGGAAUUGACGGGG